CGACACUUCCCUCAGCUGUCCAACCUACAACCACAAAUGGAUAUCAACCAUGGUUUUCACGUAACUGCCGUUAUCUAUAGGUUUUGAAGGGCUCUGUUACCUUUAUACCAGUUACACAUAGGCAAAAAGAAAAAGCAGGUGCAACAGUCGUGACAGCCAUUACUUAACAGUAAUGGCCGCAGGAAGCUCAUUUCAUGAAAAAUUGAAUAGCGAGAGGCUGUUACAGUUAUGUUACAGCCGUUACAGGCCUCACUUUGUUACCCGUGACCACGAAAGUAGCCACAAUUUAAAUCCAUGCUAUCAACAGAUUGCAAAAUGAAUUUUAUGAAAAAAUUAAAAACAUUUUUAUUAUUCAAUACACUAAUUACCAUAUUUCUCUACAACUCAUGACUAAAAUGUAAGUAAAGACACAAAACUAGGAUUAACAACCCAAAAGCAUGUUCUUACUUGAGGGAAAGACGUAUGCAAG
rnacentral:misc_RNA from 1 species